rnacentral:rRNA from 1 species
UUAGAGUUUGAUCCUGGCUCAGGAUAAACGCUAGCGGCAGGCCUAACACAUGCAAGUCGAGGGGCAUCGGGAUGUAGCAAUACAUUGCCGGCGACCGGCGCACGGGUGCGUAACACGUAUGCGACCUACCUUUAACUCUGGGAUAGCCCGAAGAAAUUCGGAUUAAUACCGGAUAAUAUCAAGAUAUGACAUCACAGCUUGAUUAAAGGCGCGAGUUGGUUAAAGAUGGGCAUGCGUCCCAUUAGUUAGUUGGGGAGGUAACGGCUCACCAAGGCGAUGAUGGGUAGGGGCUCUGAGAGGAUUACCCCCCACAUUGGUACUGAGACAGGGACCAAACUCCUACGGGAGGCAGCAGUGAGGAAUAUUGGGCAAUGGACGGAAGUCUGACCCAGCCAUGCCGCGUGCAGGAAGACGGCCUUAUGGGUUGUAAACUGCUUUUAUGUAGGGAAAAAGUUCAUAUUGCGAUAUGAUUUGAUGGUACUACAGGAAUAAGAAUCGGCUAACUCCGUGCCAGCAGCCGCGGUAAUACGGAGGAUUCGAGCGUUAUCCGGAUUUAUUGGGUUUAAAGGGUGCGCAGGCGGACUAUUAAGUCAGUGGUGAAAUUUUCCGGCUCAACCGGGACAGUGCCAUUGAUACUGAUAGACUAGAGUAUAAUUGACGUAUGUGGAAUGUGGCAUGUAGCGGUGAAAUGCAUAGAGAUGCUACAGAACACCGAUAGCGAAGGCAGCAUACGAAGCUAUAACUGACGCUCAUGCACGAAAGCGUGGGGAUCAAAACAGGAUUAGAUACCCUGGUAGUCCACGCUGUAAACAAUGAAAACUGGCUU